rfam:Salmo salar isolate Sally breed double haploid chromosome ssa14, whole genome shotgun sequence.
AAUGCACCAAUUUGUAAGGCGCUCUGGAUAAGAGCGUCUGCAAAAUGACGUAAA